GGUCAAUGGUGGCAUAGUGGAGGGAGUCUGAGGGAAUUCUGAGCUGGGAAUAAGGCUGUUGAGACUUGGCACGCGGGAGUUAUGAGGGGCUGACAAGUCGAUUAUAAGGCGUUUUUUACCGGAAUACUUACGGAAUACUAUACUGAUGGGAUUGAUGCAGUAUUCAGGGAAUGGGGGAGAGUCAAGUGGGCCGAUCAUGAAACCGUUCUCAACUUCAGAUGCUAGCAAGCAAUCGACGGACUGGGGAUCGGCGGUGGCAGAUUGCAGAUUUUUGCAAAAGACUGAGGAAGAAGGAAGUGUGCACAGGCCUGGUGAGAAUCCAAAGGAAAGGCCAUCGAGUAAGAUGUGAGUGGAAGAGGGGUUGGGGUGAUGGAGCAGUUCGGAUGCAAGAGCGGGGAUAUCAACUGGGGUAGACAGAUAAGCCAGUAGUCAUUUGGGAACGCUGAAGGUGGAGCAAGCGUGGAAGGGCCGGCGGGGGCAGGCAGAGCGAGCGUGGAAUGUGAAGGAAGCGACAAAAAGAAGAGGUACAUGUCGAGAAAUUGAAGUUGUUGCAGAUUUGUUGGCUUCCGAUCAUCACAAUGGGGCGACCAAAAGUGCGGCAGUAAAGCUCGAUGUCGAGGGCACCCCAGUAUGUGUGCUGGUUCCAUUGGAGUAGGCGGGCGGCGGCCUUGGCAGAGAACUGCUUAUGGUAAUCGUAGAACAGGGAGCCCUCGAAACGGACAGAUAGAUCAAGGAUGAUGUGCAUGUAAUCAGAGGUCCUGACGACGUUCAGGAAAGGCGGAGCACAUGAUGUCGUGAAAAAUACUGAAAGCCAAACAGAAGUCAGAAAUUCUAAGGACUGAAGCAGAGUGAGGGUCAGAAGAUUUGAGAGUAACGGAAAUCGAGCCGCAGUUGACUGUUCUGGAAUCGGAGUUGUAAGUGGAGGAAGAGAGAAGUAUCCUCUGGAGGCUUGCUACGGUCCGGUUGGAAAUCGCGAGAGAUGACGCGGGAGAAGGGGGAGCCGAUGUGCGUGAUGGACGGCGGCGGGGACGUCCUUGAGAGAAGCGGGGGUUGUUUGGAGACUUUGCCGUGGAGGAAUGGGAAUGCUGGGUUUGUGAUGAGAGAGGGACUGCGACGGCGGGACGCAGUGUUCGGUGAGGAGUUGGAUCUUGUGAGGACUGGCUGGGAGAUGAGCGGCGCUGAUGUGGCACGGCGGAUGAUGGAGGCGAUGAGACGGAGCUUCACUGUUAUACCCAACCAUUUGUGCGUAUAAGCUGCACGUCCCUCACUACCUUGGACCAGGUGUGUUCUACCUUCAAGAAAACUCUGGUCAAUGGCUGUACUCUACUGAGAUGACAUUGUUUAUGUUGAGUGAGAGUUAACGGUAGACAGAAACUACAAGUGUGUGCCUCAGUAUUGCUCCGCUCCCUAUUUGUGUUGUGUUUGUUUUUGUUCUCGUCACUAAUUGUCUUUAUGUUCUAAAAUUCCAUCAAAUAUGUGCAACUGAAUUUCUUUAAUAAAGUGCAUUUAAUUAUUUG
rnacentral:lncRNA from 1 species